rnacentral:rRNA from 1 species
CCUACGGGAGGCAGCAGUGGGGAAUAUUGCACAAUGGGGGAAACCCUGAUGCUGCGACGCCGCGUGAGUGAAGAAGUAUUUCGGUACGUAAAGCUCUAUCAGCAGGGAAGCAAAUGACGGUACCUGACUAAGAAGCCCCGGCUAACUCCGUGCCAGCAGCCGCGGUAAUACGUAGGGGGCAAGCGUUAUCCGGAUUUACUGGGGGUAAAGGGAGCGUAGACGGCAGCGCAAGUCUGGAGUGAAAUCCCAUGGCUUAACCAUGGAACUGCUUUGGAAACUGUGCAGCUAGAGUGCAGGAGAGGUAAGCGGAAUUCCUAGUGUAGCGGUGAAAUGCGUAGAUAUUAGGAGGAACACCAGUGGCGAAGGCGGCUUACUGGACUGUAACUGACGUUGAGGCUCGAAAGCGUGGGGAGCAAACAGGAUUAGAUACCCGAGUAGUC